AAGGGUAUAGCUCAGUGGUAGAGCACAUGCUUAGCAUGCACAAGGUCCUGAGUUCAAUCCCCAGUGCCUCCA
rnacentral:tRNA from 1 species